UGAAGGAAUCCGGACAAUUUGGCCACGGACGAUUUGGCCACGGACGAUUUGGCCACGGGAUGUCACCCUAGGACGUUUUGGCCACGGUGGGUAGGACAUUUUGGCCACGGGAGAAAAUACUAGGAAUCUAUUGCACUUAGUAGCUUGCUUAUUAAGUAAAGGAAAAAAUCUUUAGUCUGUUUUAUUAUCCAAAAAAGUUCUCUAAUCUGUUCUGUUAGGUUAGGUUAGGUUAGGUUAGGUUAGGUUAGGUUAGGUUAGGUAAUAAAUACGAAUAUUAAUAAUAAUUGUGAAAAUAUGUAAAUAAUACAAAAUAUAAUAUAUAUUACAGUAAAUAUGUUUCAUGGCCAAAACGUCCACCUUGGGAAGUUCCCGUGGCCAAAACGUCCUACGGUGACAUCCCGUGGCCAAAUUGUCCGUGGGCAAAUCAUCCGUGGCCAAAUCGUCCUACACCCAGU